AGCUUUGCACAGUGGCGGUAUCGUAACCAAUGAGGUUUAUCCAAGGUGCGAUUAUUGCUAAUUGAAAACUUUUCCCUAAUCAAA
rnacentral:snRNA from 1 species